UCGAACGAAGCGUGCCGGAGGAAGUUUUCGGAUGGAAUCCGGGAUGACUGAGUGGCGGACGGGUGAGUAACGCGUGGGUAACCUGCCCUGUACAGGGGGACAACAGUUAGAAAUGACUGCUAAUACCGCAUAAGCGCACAGGACCGCAUGGUCCGGUGUGAAAAACUCCGGUGGUACAGGAUGGACCCGCGUCUGAUUAGGUAGUUGGCGGGGUAACGGCCCACCAAGCCGACGAUCAGUAGCCGACCUGAGAGGGUGACCGGCCACAUUGGGACUGAGACACGGCCCAAACUCCUACGGGAGGCAGCAGUGGGGAAUAUUGCACAAUGGGGGGAACCCUGAUGCAGCGACGCCGCGUGAGUGAAGAAGUAUUUCGGUAUGUAAAGCUCUAUCAGCAGGGAAGAAAAUGACGGUACCUGACUAAGAAGCCCCGGCUAACUACGUGCCAGCAGCCGCGGUAAUACGUAGGGGGCAAGCGUUAUCCGGAUUUACUGGGUGUAAAGGGAGCGUAGACGGCAGAGCAAGUCUGAAGUGAAAGCCCGCGGCUCAACUGCGGGACUGCUUUGGAAACUGCCCCGGCUAGAGUGCUGGAGAGGUAAGCGGAAUUCCUAGUGUAGCGGUGAAAUGCGUAG
rnacentral:rRNA from 1 species